rnacentral:tRNA from 1 species
GGCUAGAUAGCUCAGUUGGUAGAGCAAGGGACUGAAAAUCCCUGUGUCAGUGGUUCGAUUCCACUUCUAGCCACCA